rnacentral:tRNA from 1 species
GCCGCAAUAGCUCAGAUGGUAGAGCGCUGUGUUGAAAACGCAGGCGUGGGUGGUUCGAUCCCAUCUUGCGGCACCA